rnacentral:rRNA from 1 species
AUUGAACGCUGGCGGCAGGCUUAACACAUGCAAGUCGAGCGGGGAUAGGGUGCUUGCACCUGAUUCCUAGCGGCGGACGGGUGAGUAAUGCUUAGGAAUCUGCCUAUUAGUGGGGGACAACGUUCCGAAAGGGACGCUAAUACCGCAUACGUCCUACGGGAGAAAGCAGGGGAUCUUCGGACCUUGCGCUAAUAGAUGAGCCUAAGUCGGAUUAGCUAGUUGGUGGGGUAAAGGCCUACCAAGGCGACGAUCUGUAGCGGGUCUGAGAGGAUGAUCCGCCACACUGGGACUGAGACACGGCCCAGACUCCUACGGGAGGCAGCAGUGGGGAAUACUGGACAAUGGGGGGAACCCUGAUCCAGCCAUGCCGCGUGUGUGAAGAAGGCCUUUUGGUCGUAAAGCACUUUAAGCGAGGAGGAGGCUUACCUGGUUAAUACCUGGGAUAAGUGGACGUUACUCGCAGAAUAAGCACCGGCUAACUCUGUGCCAGCAGCCGCGGUAAGAC